GGAUAGUACUUUACUUAACAUGGGAUUUUCAUGGGGUAUUAUGCUAUUUCCUAAAAUUUAGUUAAUUUUCUAGUGAAGUGAAGAUCCAAUUACUUCUUUCUUGGGAGUUCUGAGGUGCCGAAUUGAAUAUACUGGACUUGCAGCCAAAUUUUCAUGAGUUGUUUUUAUAUUGUAUGAUCUCAAGCAUUCUAGCUUGAAACGGUUACAGAAAAUAAGUGCUGUAAAUACUAGUUUAUUAAACUGCAUUUAGACAUUAAGGUAUCUGAAUUUAUAUUUAGCAAUUUGUACAAAGAUCCAACAAGGAUCAGAUGACCAAUGAUAGAAGAUGAACAUGGGAUGUUUAGGAGGUGGCUUGAAGUCAGAAAAAGGGAGGGAUCAGGGAGGAGUGUUGGGGAGCAACUCUGUGAAGAUAGGAAAAGAUAAUAAAUGAGCCUGGUGACAUGAAAGCAGGUGCUGCUUGGCUAGCAUGUGUCCGAGUCCUGGGCUUCCUCACUGCAGUCUGUUCUAUGUUCCUGUUAAAUCCUACUUCUAACUCUCUCUCACAUGUGUGCGUGUGUGUGUCUGUGUCUCUGUGUGGGUCUGUGUGUCUGUGUGUUCAGCCUCCCUGUUCCCUGUCGAGAAGGAACUGAAAUAGCCUCACAUGAACAUGCCUGGGACAGAAGAACUCUCACAGGUCCUGCAGUCUACCAAAUUCACCUACCUUAGAAAUCUUGCCUGUUGACACCCUGAAUCUCUAUAGAAACAGCCACUAUGCAUUCCAGGAACAAUCCUAUGUCACAUCCUUGGCUGUGUUAUACUUGCUCUGAAAUAUCAUCACCAUCAGAAUAUGGGCAUGGUCUGGAAACCUACAAAUGUAAGAAGAUAUGUUCCCUCUUCUCUCUUUGGACAGGGACCACACAAUGGGUGAUACCACAAAUGCUGCAUGAUGGACUAUACUAUGUACUAAAGUUAAUGGAUUUUAUGAGCAUGACAAUGUUACAUUUAUUUGAGCACUUUCAAUGAACAAGUUAAUUCUUAACUCAUUUGUCAGCUAUCUAAUUUCUGGCAAUCUCCUGAGCAAGCUACUUUAGUGGAUUUAAUACAUUUGUAAAACAAAUCAAUCAUAGAUUGGGCAUAGAAAUUUGGCUACAUUUAUAAUGACAAGUGGCCAUUGAAGAUGGCCUACGCACUGAUUCUGUGGUAAUGCCUGCUAAAUCUAUAGAGCUUGUUAAUGUUUGACAAGUUACUUUAUGUACUUAUGGUUUAGUGUUUAAUGAUGAUUAAUCCCAUAGUAAAAGAGUAGUCUCAGUUUUUGACGGUUAUUGCAGAACAUGUGGAAAAUAAAAAAUGUCAAGUAAAAUGUUCA
rnacentral:lncRNA from 1 species